AAUAGAUACCCUGGUAGUCCACGCCGUAAACGAUGAGUGCUAAGUGUUGGGGGGGUUUCCGCCCCUCAGUGCUGCAGCUAACGCAUUAAGCACUCCGCCUGGGGAGUACGGUCGCAAGACUGAAACUCAAAGGAAUUGACGGGGGCCCGCACAAGCGGUGGAGCAUGUGGUUUAAUUCGAAGCAACGCGAAGAACCUUACCAGGUCUUGACAUCCCGGUGACCACUAUGGAGACAUAGUUUCCCCUUCGGGGGCAACGGUGACAGGUGGUGCAUGGUUGUCGUCAGCACGUGUCGUGAGAUGUUGGGUUAAGUCCCGCAACGAGCGCAACCCUUAUUCUUAGUUGCCAUCAUUCAGUUGGGGCACUCUAAGGAGACUGCCGGUGAUAAACCGGGGGAAGGUGGGGAUGACGUCAAAUCAUCAUGCCCCUUAUGACCUGGGCUACACACGUGCUACAAUGGACGGUACAAACGGUUGCCAACCCGCGAGGGGGAGCUAAUCCGAUAAAACCGUUCUCAGUUCGGAUUGUAGGCUGCAACUCGCCUACAUGAAC
rnacentral:rRNA from 1 species